rnacentral:rRNA from 1 species
UUCCUACGGGGCGCAGCAGUGAGGAAUAUUGGUCAAUGGCCGAGAGGCUGAACCAGCCAAGUCGCGUGAGGGAUGACGGCCCUACGGGUUGUAAACCUCUUUUGCCGGGGAGCAAAGAGCGGGACGCGUCCCGCCUCGAGAGUACCCGGAGAAAAAGCAUCGGCUAACUCCGUGCCAGCAGCCGCGGUAAUACGGAGGAUGCGAGCGUUAUCCGGAUUUAUUGGGUUUAAAGGGUGCGCAGGCGGAGGUGCAAGUCAGCGGUCAAAUUGCGGGGCUCAACCCCGUACUGCCGUUGAAACUGCAUC